GACAAUUGCGGUCAUACAGGACUUGUCAGAAGAACAGCAGAUGACUCAGACCGCGACGUUCCAAUGACAGCUGACGAAAGCCUUUAUAAGCCAACGCUUGGUGGUGAGCUUUAAUUGCAGAGCUGACCCCGCACCGAAUUCAGUCGGCAAGUCACUGCCAGCGGCCCGAUAUACCGAAGAAGAAAGAAAAGAAGACGAAAGGUUUUAAACAAGAUGAGUCGCUUCGCAUUGAUGCUGGUGCUGACUGGGCUUCUGGUUCUGGCCGUGUCAGUGCCCCUGGCCGUCGGCAGCCCACAGCCCCAUCCGCUGCCGGUGCCACAGUCUUCGUGCUAUUGUUGGCGCUGCUGCCCUCACUGUGACGCCUCGUGCCGCCACUGCUGCUUUGCACCGAUAAAGUGAAGCUUUGCAAUGAUAUGCAGCUACGCAGGUGCAGGGUUAAGUCUCUCUCUGUGUAACCUGACCAAGCCCGUCAGGCAGACUUUGAGCACAUACAUAAUGAUUUGGCUCCGCUCACCCGCAAAAUGCGUGCUUGUCCGAGUGUCGUGCUGCUACGAGUGCAUUGAAAUUUGAAAAUAUAUAUAUAUAUUCGACGUGUUCCAACGCGUUGGAUUUUCUAUUGCCUUCUAAUUUUCUUCAAUAAACGGAUUUCUAUUUUA